ACUCCUACGGGAGGCAGCAGUGGGGAAUAUUGGACAAUGGGCGCAAGCCUGAUCCAGCCAUGCCGCGUGAGUGAUGAAGGCCCUAGGGUUGUAAAGCUCUUUCACCGGUGAAGAUAAUGACGGUAACCGGAGAAGAAGCCCCGGCUAACUUCGUGCCAGCAGCCGCGGUAAUACGAAGGGGGCUAGCGUUGUUCGGAUUUACUGGGCGUAAAGCGCACGUAGGCGGACUAUUAAGUCAGGGGUGAAAUCCCGGGGCUCAACCCCGGAACUGCCUUUGAUACUGGUAGUCUUGAGUUCGAGAGAGGUGAGUGGAAUUCCGAGUGUAGAGGUGAAAUUCGUAGAUAUUCGGAGGAACACCAGUGGCGAAGGCGGCUCACUGGCUCGAUACUGACGCUGAGGUGCGAAAGCGUGGGGAGCAAACAGGAUUAGAAACCCUGGUAGUCCCAUG
rnacentral:rRNA from 1 species